CCUACGGGACGCAGCAGUGAGGAAUAUUGGUCAAUGGUCGGGAGACUGAACCAGCCGAGCCGCGUGAGGGAGGAAGGUACAGAGUAUCGUAAACCUCUUUUGUCAGGGAACAAAGGCGGGGACGUGUCCCCGGAUGAGUGUACCUGAAGAAAAAGCAUCGGCUAACUCCGUGCCAGCAGCCGCGGUAAUACGGAGGAUGCGAGCGCUAUCCGGAUUUAUUGGGUUUAAAGGGUGCGCAGGCGGGCGGUUAAGUCAGCGGUCAAAGCCCGGGGCUCAACCCCGGACCGGCGGUGAA
rnacentral:rRNA from 1 species